UACGUAGGGUGCGAGCGUUGUCCGGAAUUAUUGGGCGUAAAGGGCUCGUAGGCGGUUUGUCACGUCAGGAGUGAAAACUCGGGGCUUAACCCCGAGCCUGCUUCUGAUACGGGCAGACUAGAGGUAUGCAGGGGAGAACGGAAUUCCUGGUGUAGCGGUGAAAUGCGCAGAUAUCAGGAGGAACACCGGUGGCGAAGGCGGCCCCCUGGUUGGAUACUGACGCUGAGACGCGAAAGCGUGGGGAGCAAACAGG
rnacentral:rRNA from 1 species